GGGCCUUGUUCACCGAAACUUGGUCUCCCCAUGUUGCUCUCUUUCUCAAAUUCUGGCUGAGUCUCCAUCUGGAGCGCGGAACCCACCAUGCUUGCUAAUUAUGCCUGGGCUUCUAAGAUCUGACCAGGGAGGCCUCAGUGUCUCCUCUCCUUCGGGAGAACGGAAGGACGCCUGCGGCCUACGUCAGCCACGCUCAAUAAAUGCUGACGUGCCCUGGUGGCAUCUGAGCCGGCAACCUUGCACUGAACCUGAACUCCUGGAACAGACUUCUUGAAGCUGGCCGAGGGCUGUCCAGAACUCCGGAACACAUUCUGAAGAGCCCGUCAGUGGUGUGUGGACCCACGGCCUGGCAGUCCCUCAUUUCCAUUCUGCUGCCACCUUGCAAGUGACCCCUCGAUGUUCCAGGUUUUCUCUUGAGAAGCAGCGUGGAACAGCAGGAAGCAAACCAAAUGAAGAUGGGGGAUGGUAACAAUGAAGACUGUGCCCCUCCCUCCCCUGGCCACUGAUGUCCACGUCCUUAUUCCCAGAGCCUGGCUUGGUCAGUCCCCUGCCUCCAGGCAUAAUAUUUCUUCCUCAGCCCCUUCCCCUAUUAUUCUGGCAACAGUUUCGCACUGGUGCCCACCCCUGGGUACCUCAGUGCCCUUGCCCAGCAUUGCCCACAUCUCUGUCCAUACUUCCUUUGAUUAAAAUCCCUUAAGCCA
ensembl:lncRNA